GUCAAAUACUGACCCCAAUGGCGGGGAUGCAACGCACAAUCGCGAAAGAAGCAAUUCCGCAAGUACGACUCGCACUUGUCGGAACGACGAGGACGACAAACGUCGGAAGCACCACGCGCGCCAACUUCACCGCACGCAGAUCUACGCGCGAUCCCCGCACGCGACCUACGACACCACGCAAGAUCGACGUCUCCAGAGCACAACUCGCGAAGACAACAAUAAGCCAUCACGUCGCGUGCGACUACACUCCACAUAUCUUCCUCAGUCUACGUUCAACUUCCACGUCGACGACCUUCUUACCAGCUCCUCGGACAACCUGGAGAGAUCUCACGAUGUGGAGUAUCCACCGACUGUGCAUAGUGAUUGCCGUGCAUCUUUUGUAUGGUCCAGCGGAGACUCAUGCAGAUGUAACAUCGCUGAACUGUAGCGUACCUGAUAUUGCCAAUGGUACUGCUGACAAAACCGUGGUCCAAUUCCCAAACAGUGUCACCUAUUCUUGCCAAGAGGGUCUGGGGAUAGUGGGUGAUGCCACGACAAAUUGCAUGGCUGAUGGAAAUCUCACUUC